CUUGUUGCUCACACAAAGCCUGUUUGGUGGACUCUCUUCACAUGGACGCGCAUGACAGUAACACCAGGAGAUUCCCCAAGGACUAUCUUAAAGUUUAGACAUAAUUCUUCUUAACCCCAUCAGGUAGUAGCAUUCCUAGCUCUUGAUGAUAAUCAAGUUCUAUUAUUCUUGCUAAUAUAGUAACUUUGUUUGUUUUGCUUGCUGGUCUUUUGGCAGGAGAAGCGUCAGAUAAUUAGGCAGCAGUCCAACAAUUAGGUUUUGUGGAACUUUUACUAUGUCAUCUAUUUAUUGGAAUUCCCCCUGGAUACCAGGACCCCCUCCAGCAGAGCUUAAAGUUAUAGUUACAGGAAGUACAAAUUCCUUAUGUGGAUCCCUGGAAGUGUGAUGAGAAGAACCACUGUUUCCAAGAUCUAUUUAUUCUAUUUAUCAGGCCUAUAAAAUCAUGUAAUGGCCAUGGCUUCAACUAGACUCCACAUCUUGAAUCACAGAACUCAACGAAUGGCAUCAACUACAAGCUGGUAUUCUGCUAUACAUUUAAGAGGCCAUUUUAAUAUUCUAUUAGUCUAGCAGCUUCUAAGUGAUGAGGGAUAUGGGGGGACUGGAGGAUCCCGUGCUCACUUCCUUUUCUGUAAAAGGAGCUCUUUGAUCCAAGGUGACAUGGUAUGGGAUCCAAUGACAAUAAAUCAGUUAUUCUGUGAACCCUGAUCAAAACUUGACUAAACUUUUGACAGUUAGGUUUUUUCCUGACCACAGACUCCUCACCUUUCUUUUCUUAGAAAAUUUACAUUGGAAAACAGAUGUAAAUUUUCUCCAGCCUCUUGCAAGGUUUACAGUCCAGGACUUUGAGGUCCUGGGAGUCAUCCUUUUGAAAUACAAUCAUCAAAGAAGAUAGUGCUCCAAUCUCCUAGUCUCUGUGGGAGGGUUGGAACCUAACUUCAGUAAACUAAUCACCAAUUAGCAAACACAGAGGGGCUGAUCAUACUGACCCACUUUCCCACUAAAAUGUCUAGUACUUUCCACCAGCUCACCACAGUGCUUAAAAACUCUCCUGUCUUUUGUUUUACUAGAGUUGAGUCCAAUCUCUUUCAUCUAUUGCAAUAGUGUUGAAUAAAGUCUUCCUUGCCUAACUUGUCAUGUGUAUUUUUUCUCUGACUGCCUUCAGAGAGUGUUAUUGUCCAAGACACUGAAAAAUAGAAACACAACCUUCAUCUAGAAAAUGCAAGAAUCUCAGUAAAGAUGAAUCAUUGUUCUGCCACCAUGGAAGGCAGCUAGUUGUAGUCAAUUAGCCAAAAAGUACCUGGUUGGUUUCCUUGAGGGGAUGGCAUGCGUAUUAAUCUGGCUGGGCAUGGUGGCCGGCGCCUGUGUUCCAGCUACUCGGGAGGCUGA
rnacentral:lncRNA from 10 species